UGCAGUCGAGCGGAACGAGUUAACUGAACCUUCGGGGGACGUUAACGGCGUCGAGCGGCGGACGGGUGAGUAAUGCCUGGGAAAUUGCCCUGAUGUGGGGGAUAACCAUUGGAAACGAUGGCUAAUACCGCAUAAUAGCUUCGGCUCAAAGAGGGGGACCUUCGGGCCUCUCGCGUCAGGAUAUGCCCAGGUGGGAUUAGCUAGUUGGUGAGGUAAUGGCUCACCAAGGCGACGAUCCCUAGCUGGUCUGAGAGGAUGAUCAGCCACACUGGAACUGAGACACGGUCCAGACUCCUACGGGAGGCAGCAGUGGGGAAUAUUGCACAAUGGGCGCAAGCCUGAUGCAGCCAUGCCGCGUGUGUGAAGAAGGCCUUCGGGUUGUAAAGCACUUUCAGCAGUGAGGAAGGCGGGUACGUUAAUAGCGUGCUCGUUUGACGUUAGCUGCAGAAGAAGCACCGGCUAACUCCGUGCCAGCAGCCGCGGUAAUACGGAGGGUGCGAGCGUUAAUCGGAAUUACUGGGCGUAAAGCGCAUGCAGGUGGUUAGUUAAGUCAGAUGUGAAAGCCCGGGGCUCAACCUCGGAACUGCAUUUGAAACUGGCUGACUAGAGUACUGUAGAGGGGGGUAGAAUUUCAGGUGUAGCGGUGAAAUGCGUAGAGAUCUGAAGGAAUACCGGUGGCGAAGGCGGCCCCCUGGACAGAUACUGACACUCAGAUGCGAAAGCGUGGGGAGCAAACAGGAUUAGAUACCCUGGUAGUCCACGCCGUAAACGAUGUCUACUUGGAGGUUGUGGCCUUGAGCCGUGGCUUUCGGAGCUAACGCGUUAAGUAGACCGCCUGGGGAGUACGGUCGCAAGAUUAAAACUCAAAUGAAUUGACGGGGGCCCGCACAAGCGGUGGAGCAUGUGGUUUAAUUCGAUGCAACGCGAAGAACCUUACCUACUCUUGACAUCCAGAGAACUUAGCAGAGAUGCUUUGGUGCCUUCGGGAACUCUGAGACAGGUGCUGCAUGGCUGUCGUCAGCUCGUGUUGUGAAAUGUUGGGUUAAGUCCCGCAACGAGCGCAACCCUUAUCCUUGUUUGCCAGCACUUCGGGUGGGAACUCCAGGGAGACUGCCGGUG
rnacentral:rRNA from 1 species